UACCAGGGCCGAAAAUGAAGUCAUUGACAUG
rnacentral:piRNA from 1 species